CUAAAUUGAUUGAAAACAAAAUGGUGGGAAUCCCAGUCCAAAUUCCUACAGCCAGGCAGGAAAGAAAAUGGUCCAGAUUGUGCGUCACAGCUCUGCUGGACCGUCCACUUAGUAACCCUGCCAAUCACUUAUCAUCUGGAAGCGUGUAAUUGGUGCAUGUUCUGAUUCUGCAGUGAUGAAAGAAGCUGGAAGGGGUUAACGGACACAUCAGCACACAUGUCAUGUCCCCAUGUCUCUGCAUGCUCUCGUCCUUCUUCAGACAGCGGAGGAUAUGAAUAAGAAGAUGAAGACAUUGUUUGCUGUUCUGAUAUCUCUGUGUUUUCAACAGCUCUUCUAGCUGCAUCCUUGGCAGUACCAGGUAACUCAGAACAAUCCAUCCGGCCCUUAUCCACCCCACGUCAUCGCUCUCUGAAGCAGCGGCGAGCACAAAGCAUUGUGGCCCGUGUUGUCACGGUGACGCCGUGCCCACGACCCCACUUCACAGACCUGCGGGGCGACAGGGAGCGUCCACAUGAGAGAAUAUUUAUCCGGCUCGAUAAUUCCCAGCCAUCGAUCUGCAAAGCAGAGUGAAGAGAGAGAGAGAGAGAGAGAGAGAGAGAGGGAUACAUACCAGCCCUAAUAGAAAAGCAGAGAGACAGAGAGAGUGAGGAUGCUCCUGUAUCAGUGAUGUUCACUUUCAAACGCUGAGAGCAGUGGGAGGAGUGGAGAAGAGAGGAGAGGAGAGAGGGCUGAGGCCAGGGCAUGUGUGUGUCUGAAGGAGGGGAAAAAGAAGCAAAAUAAAGAGCAGCAAAUGGAAAACUCA
ensembl:lncRNA